ACGUUAGCGGCGGACGGGUGAGUAACACGUGGGUAACCUACCUAUAAGACUGGGAUAACUCCGGGAAACCGGGGCUAAUACCGGAUAACACAUGAAACCGCAUGGUUUCAUGAUGAAAGACGGUUUUGCUGUCACUUAUAGAUGGACCCGCGGCGUAUUAGCUAGUUGGUAAGGUAACGGCUUACCAAGGCAACGAUACGUAGCCGACCUGAGAGGGUGAUCGGCCACACUGGAACUGAGACACGGUCCAGACUCCUACGGGAGGCAGCAGUG
rnacentral:rRNA from 1 species